rnacentral:misc_RNA from 1 species
UACGAAGGUGGCAAGCGUUGCCCGGAGUUAUUGGGCUUAAAGCGCGCGCAGGCGGUCCCUUAAGUCUGAUGUGAAAGCCCACGGCUCAACCGUGGAGGGUCAUUGGAAACUGGGGGACUUGAGUGCAGAAGAGGAAAGUGGAAUUCCAUGUGUAGCGGUGAAAUGCGUAGAGAUGUGGAGGAACACCAGUGGCGAAGGCGGCUCUCUGGUCUGUAACUGACGCUGAGGCGCGAAAGCGUGGGGAGCGGACAGG